rnacentral:rRNA from 1 species
GACGAACGCUGGCGGCGUGCCUAAUACAUGCAAGUAGAACGCUGAAGGAGGAGCUUGCUCUUCUGGAUGAGUUGCGAACGGGUGAGUAACGCGUAGGUAACCUGCCUGGUAGCGGGGGAUAACUAUUGGAAACGAUAGCUAAUACCGCAUAAGAGUAGAUGUUGCAUGACAUUUGCUUAAAAGGUGCAAUUGCAUCACUACCAGAUGGACCUGCGUUGUAUUAGCUAGUUGGUGGGGUAACGGCUCACCAAGGCGACGAUACAUAGCCGACCUGAGAGGGGGAGCGCCCACAGGGGGACUGACCCCGGCCCCGGCCCCCUAGGGGGGGCGGCGGUGGGGAUUUUCGGGAAAGGGAGGGAGGUCGCACCGAGAACCGCGGGGGGGGUAAAGAGGUUUUUGGGCUCGAAACGCUUUUUUGAAGGAAAAGACGGGGUGGGGGAGGGAAAAUUCCACCCUGGGCGGGUUUUUUACCAGAGGGGGCGGCCUACCCCGGGC